GGCUAACCAUGCAGUCGAGCGGAGAGGGAGCUUGCUCCUGGAUUCGUCGGCGGACGGGUGAGUAAUGGCUAUGAAUGUGCCUGGUCGUGGGGGAUGACGUUCGGAAACGGGAGCUAAUUCCGCUUACGUCCUGAGGGAGAAAGUGGGGGAUCUUCGGACCUCACGCUUUCUGAUGAGCCUAGGUCGGAUUAGCUAGUUGGUGGGGUAAAGGCCUACCCAGGCGACCAUCCGUAACUGGUCUGAGAGGAUGAUCAGUCACACUGGAACUGAGACACGGACCAGACUCCUACUGGAGGCAGCAGUGGGGAAUAUUGGACAAUGGGGGGAAGCCUGAUCCAGCCAUGCCGCGUGUGUGAAAAAAGUCUUCCGAUUGUAAAGCACUUUAAGUUGGGAGGGAGGGCAGGGAGUUAAUACCUUGCUGUUUUGACGUUACCAACAGAAUAAGCACCGGCUAACUUCGUGCCAGCAGCC
rnacentral:rRNA from 1 species